rnacentral:lncRNA from 1 species
UUUUCUUGUUUGUUUUUGUUUUAAAUAUACAAUGCUAGUUUUGACCUGUGUUUACGUACAUGCCCUUAAUACUUGGCAUGUCAAUUUCCAGAUGUUUGACAACAAAAUCUUCUUUCCUGGACGUGUGGACAGUACCAGAGCCAGCCUGUCAGAAUUACAGAGCACUGUCACGUGUUGCCAGGCAGUGGCAGGUCUCCGGGGAGAGCUAUCACCAUAGGGAUUGGCAUCAUAAAGGAAGACCAUUUGCAAACCCCUUGUCAACUCCAUAUUCCUACCACAUCUUUAAAGGAAAACCACAGGUUUUGAGCCCUGGGGAUUAUGAGGGGAGGAAUUUGGACAAUGUAGGGUUCUCUCUGUGUUUACACAGUUAACCUGAUGACAUCUUCUUCAGAAAGCAGGUUUCCAGACUUAGCUAAGUUUCAUCUGCGUAGCUGCAGAGGAACCUGGAUUGAUGCUGCCUUCCCCAGCCAGCCCUCAGCCAUUAGAACAUCCAGCAGCCAUCCUGGGAUUCGCGGGGCCAGAGACAGGGAUGCUGAGUCCGUUUUCCUCUCUCUUUUCUUCUCUCUUCUUCUUGGAGA